rnacentral:rRNA from 1 species
AUAUUGGUCAAUGGACGCAAGUCUGAACCAGCCAUGCCGCGUGGAGGAUGAAGGUCCUCUGGAUUGUAAACUUCUUUUAUUUGGGAAGAAACCCACAUUUUCCAAUGUGGUUGACGGUACCAGAUGAAUAAGCACCGGCUAACUCCGUGCCAGCAGCCGCGGUAAUACGGAGGGUGCAAGCGUUAUCCGGAUUCACUGGGUUUAAAGGGUGCGUAGGCGGGUUGGUAAGUCCGUGGUGAAAUCUCCGAGCUUAACUCGGAAACUGCCGUGGAUACUACUGAUCUUGAAUGUCGUGGAGGUAAGCGGAAUAUGUCAUGUAGCGGUGAAAUGCUUAGAUAUGACAUAGAACACCAAUUGCGUAGGCAGCUUACUACACGAUUAUUGACGCUGAGGCACGAAAGCGUGGGGAGCAAACAGG